AAGGGAGACCCAAUUCGGGUAGAAGACGAAAAAAUAGUAGUCGAAACCAAGAAUCAAUCCCAAAAGGUCGGAACGAGGUAUGUGGCUUUCAAACUAGGUUCUGGGUUCACAAAAGACCUGAAUCAGGAACAAGGGCUAUUAGCUCAGGUGGUUAGAGCGCACCCCUGAUAAGGGUGAGGUCCCUGGUUCGAGUCCAGGAUGGCCCACCUGCACAGGUGGCAAAAACAAGAGAAACGAGGAAUCAGCACCUUAUCUUACUUACAUAGUAAGAGAGAAUGCUGGCUCUGAGUAAAGAGUCCAGAGGAACCUUGAAAACUGCAUAGAGCUAGGUGAAAAAGCCAAAAAAGAAGACCGCAA
rnacentral:tRNA from 1 species